rnacentral:rRNA from 1 species
AUCCCUACGGGACGCAGCAGUGGGGGAUAUUGCACAAUGGGGGGAACCCUGAUGCAGCGACGCCGCGUGGGUGAAGAAGCGCCUCGGCGCGUAAAGCCCUGUCAGCAGGGAAGAAAAUGACGGUACCUGAAGAAGAAGCCCCGGCUAACUACGUGCCAGCAGCCGCGGUAAUACGUAGGGGGCAAGCGUUAUCCGGAUUUACUGGGUGUAAAGGGGGCGCAGACGGCGAUGCAAGCCAGGAGUGACAGCCAGGGGCGCAA